rnacentral:rRNA from 1 species
GGGCGGUGUGUACAAGGGCAGGGACGUAAUCAACGCAAGCUGAUGACUUGCGCUUACUAGGAAUUCCUCGUUGAAGAGCAAAAAUUACAAAGCUCUAUCCCCAGCACGACGGAGUUUCACAAGAUUACCAGGACCUCUCGGCCUAGGUUAGACUCGCUGGCUCCGUCAGUGUAGCGCGCGUGCGGCCCAGAACGUCUAAGGGCAUCACAGACCUGUUGUUGCCUCAAACUUCCAUGGGUUUGAUACCCAUAGUCCCUCUAAGAAGAGCCCACGAGCAGAUGCUCGCAGCCCUAUUUAGCAGGUUAAGGUCUCGUCCGUUAUCGCAAUUAAGCAGACAAAUCACUCCAAGGACUAAAAACGGCCAUGCACCACCACCCGUAAGAUCAAGAGAAGUCUCUAACUUGUCAAUCCUUAUUACGUCUGGACCUGGUGAGUUUCCCCGUGUUGAGUCAAAUUAAGCCGCAGGCUCCACUCCUGGUGGUGCCCUUCCGUCAAUUCCUUUAAGUUUCAGCCUUGCGACCAUACUCCCCCCAGAACCCAAAAACUUUGAUUUCUCGUAAGGUGCCGAGUGGGCAAAAUAGCGCCACCCGAUCCCUAGUCGGCAUAGUUUAUGGUUAAGACUACGACGGUAUCUGAUCAUCUUCGAUCCCCUAACUUUCGUUCUUGAUUAAUGAAAACGUCCUUGGCAAAUGCUUUCGCAGUAGUUAGUCUUCAGUUAAUCCAAGAAUUUCACCUCUGACAACUGAAUACUGAUGCCCCCGACCGUCCCUAUUAAUCAUUACGAUGGUCCUAGAAACCAACAAAAUAGAACCAUACGUCCUAUUCUAUUAUUCCAUGCUAAUAUAUCCGAGCAAAGGCCUGCUUUGAACACUCUAAUUUCCUCAAAGUAAUCGUCCUGGUUCGCCAAAUGGCUAGCCAGAAGGAAAGACCCGGCCGAAGCAGUACUCACCAUAGGUAGACCGCCCGCCCAGGCCCAAAGUUCAACUACGAGCUUUUUAACUGCAACAACUUUAAUAUACGCUUUUGGAGCUGGAAUUACCG